rnacentral:lncRNA from 10 species
AAAAAUGCACGCCCGGGAUGGAUCCUAUUUCUUCUGCUUUGUUGUUUCCUGGUAAUAUUACCACGAUGUGUGUUGCUUCGUGUAAGCUUAGUUUAUUUCCAAAAGCUGAUACUUUCACUGCAAACAUCAAUGAAAUAAAAUUGCUAAUUUAGUUCAGUGAGAAGGGUGCACACGGGUUGCUUUGUACGAGGCCCGCCUAUCACUGUGCUCCACAAAUGUUAGCUAUUAUCACACAUCUUACAGUCAGAAAGUACAGUGUCAAUAUCUGCUUUUUGUUGUCUCCAUGAUAUUUGAGUGUCAGAAUUUCAGUUUUCAUCUGACUUUGGUUGAACUCUGGCUUUCAUACUCCUUAGCAAGCCUGUUGCGGUUCUUUCUGUUGAAAAGUGGCAGCAUGGUAGAUUCUACGUAGUCUUAGGAAUUCCCAGUGACACUCAUCUUUUACUUUAUUAGCAGAAAGUAGGGAUGUUUGAUAAAAUAUGAAAGAAAAAUAUGGCGCCCGUCACCAUGCCCGGCUAAUUUUUUGUAUUUUCGGUAGAGAAGGGGUUUCACCGUGUUAGCCAGGAUGGUCUUG